UUCAACAUCAUUGUCACUACCAUCCUCUUCGUCUGGCUCGUUAUUGUCACCACCAUCCUCUUCCUCCGACUCCUUAUCCCCACCCACAUCACCAUCCUCUUCUUCCGACUCGCUAUUGUCACUACCAUCACCAUCAUCUUGGACCGCCGGAUUGUCACUUCCGGGAACACUCAAUCUAAGACUUUUCACCUCCUCUUCUAGAAGACCUAGCUGCGUAGACAAUGAAGUGAUUUUUUCCUUCACAACUGCAUCUCGG
rnacentral:lncRNA from 1 species